rnacentral:rRNA from 1 species
UUCUUCGGAUGAAGGUUUUUGUGACUGAGUGGCGGACGGGUGAGUAACGCGUGGGUAACCUGCCUCAUACAGGGGGAUAACAGUUAGAAAUGACUGCUAAUACCGCAUAAGACCACGGAGCCGCAUGGCUCAGUGGGAAAAACUCCGGUGGUAUGAGAUGGACCCGCGUCUGAUUAGCUAGUUGGUGAGAUAACAGCCCACCAAGGCGACGAUCAGUAGCCGACCUGAGAGGGUGACCGGCCACAUUGGGACUGAGACACGGCCCAAACUCC